AUUGAACGCUGGCGGCAGGCCUAACACAUGCAAGUCGAACGAGUGGCGGACGGGUGAGUAAUGUCUGGGAAACUGCCUGAUGGAGGGGUAUAAAUACUGGAAACGGUAGCUAAUCCCGCAUACCAUCAGAUGUGCCCAGAGGGGAUUAGCUAGUGGGUGGUGUAACGGCUCACCAAGGCGACGAUCCCUAGCUGGUCUGAGAGGAUGACCGGCCAAACUGGAACUGAGACACGGUCCAGACUCCUCCGGGAGGCAGCAGUGGGGAAUAUUGCACAAUGGGCGCAAGCCUGAUGCAGCAAUGCCGCGUGUAUGAAGAAGGCCUUCGGGUUGUAAAGUACUUUAAGCGGGGAGGCGUUACCCGCAGAAGAAGCACCGGCUAACUCCGUGCCAGCAGCCGCGGUAAUUC
rnacentral:rRNA from 1 species